GAUGAAGAACGUAGCAAAAUGCGAUAAGUAAUGUGAAUUGCAGAAUUCAGUGAAUCAUCGAAUCUUUGAACGCACAUUGCGCCCGCCAGUAUUCUGGCGGGCAUGCCUGUUCGAGCGUCAUUUCAACCCUCAAGCACAGCUUGGUGUUGGGACUCGCGUUAAUUCGCGUUCCCCAAAUUGAUUGGCGGUCACGUCGAGCUUCCAUAGCGUAGUAGUAAAACCCUCGUUACUGGUAAUCGUCGCGGCCACGCCGUUAAACCCCAACUUCUGAAUGUUGAUCUCGGAUCAGGUAGGAAUACCCGCUGAACUUAAGCAUAUCAAUAAGCGGAGGA
rnacentral:misc_RNA from 1 species